rnacentral:rRNA from 1 species
AUUGAACGCUGGCGGCAUGCCUUACACAUGCAAGUCGAACGGCAGCGGGCCUUCGGGUGCCGGCGAGUGGCGAACGGGUGAGUAAUGCAUCGGAACGUGCCAUUGAGUGGGGGAUAACGUAGCGAAAGUUACGCUAAUACCGCAUAUUCUGUGAGCAGGAAAGCAGGGGACCGCAAGGCCUUGCGCUCUUUGAGCGGCCGAUGUCAGAUUAGCUAGUUGGUGAAGUAAAGGCUUACCAAGGCGACGAUCUGUAGCGGGUCUGAGAGGAUGAUCCGCCUCACUGGAACUGAGACACGGUCCAGACUCCUACGGGAGGCAGCAGUGGGGAAUUUUGGACAAUGGGCGCAAGCCUGAUCCAGCCAUGCCGCGUGAGUGAAGAAGGCCUC